UGGAAUGGAUAUCUCUCCUUGACUUUCUUCCCCUUGGCUUCUCACGCACGCUGGCCAUCUACCCUCUUUCUCCUUCAAUCGAACUCCCUCAAUUCUCCAUUUUUCCUUUCUUCUCGGCAGCGGAACGCCAUCUUCAUCCGAAGUCUCUCCCUGCCGUCCCACUGCUCUGUGUAUUGCUUGUUCGGCCAAUCAUCUUCAACGAAGGCCGAGCAGCCUUCCACCGAUCUGAAGCCGCACGCGUCUGAGUUCCUCACGCCAGCUGCCACCUGCCGGCUUCUUGGCCUACUUCGGUCAAUAAUAAAAGCAACCGAAGCUCCUCGGUUGACCGCAAAAGCCCAGCAGUCCAGCGAAAUCCCCUCCUUCGCUGCUUCCUCGUCUAGCAUCGAUUCCACCGAGAACCCCUGUCCAUCGAAGCCUCAGCACUUGCCAGCAGCUGCUUCUCAUGUUUCCUCUCUUGCGCCAUCGCCGAAACUGCUUCUGUGUGGAAGCUGCUACCGCGCGUCUUCAGUUCAAUAAGCGAAGCCAGCAAGCGUGCCCUCUCCAUGCAGCCAAGGAUGACGCUGCUUCAUGUCUUCAACCCAACGAAGCUGCUGCCACAUCUUCUCUCUGUCACUUGUUCUGUCGGUCAAACCGCACGAGGCUAGCAACUUUCAGCCCAGUAUUUUGAAGCCACAUGAUUUCCAACGGCCCAUGGUUUGGCCAGUCCACGUCUCCAACGUGUUCGCAGCACCAUAGCCCAACAAGUCCAGUGAAGGUAGGCCUAGUGAACUUCGACCCAUCAAUUCUUUGGUUACUCGGCCUAAUAGUAGCCUUGCUGCUUCGCCUUUCAACCCAUCUCAACCCAAUAAUUAAGCCCAUCAGCCCACCUGCUUAUUUGAUCGGCCCAAGUGCAGCAACCCAGCAGCUCGGCCCAAACUGGUUCAGUUCAGUUCAGCCCAUAGUCCAGUGAAGUCCAGCAAAUUCUUUUGAAGCCCAUGCCUGCGAGGCAAGAUCUUCGGGCUUGGCUCAGUGUUCGCGGACGUCGCAAAAAAUUUGGAUUUCGACCGCCGUCGCGUUGCUGUCGUGGUGUUCCGAUCUUCACUUUGCCAAGACCCUGAUGAAGGAGCCUGAUGAGGAGGAACCUGAAAAGGAGAACCCUAAUGUGGAACCAUAUGAGAAGGAAGAUUUUGGAGAAGAAGAUGACCAUGAGGAGGGUCCUGAGUACAACCCGGAUGAGGACUGAGAUCCCAUCCUGUUUUGUCAGACCUUGAUUAUAUGUGGAUAAGUGUUAGAUCAGACCCUUGUGAAUAGUAUUGCAUUAUAUACUAUGAGGUGCUUGUAUAAAAGAGUAAUUGAGAAUUCUAGUAUGAAAAUUAUGGCCCUACUUUUCUAUCU